rnacentral:rRNA from 1 species
CCUACGGGUGGCAGCAGUGGGGAAUAUUGCUCAAUGGGCGAAAGCCUGACGCAGCCAUGCCGCGUGCAGGAUGAAGGCCUUCGGAUUGUAAAGCUCUUUCAGCAGGGAGGAACGGAGUCUUGUCUAUACAUCUGUGCAUUGACGGUACCUGCAAAGGAAGCACCGGCUAACUCCGUGCCAGCAGCCGCGGUAAUACGGAGGGUGCAAGCGUUAAUCGGAAUUACUGGGCGUAAAGCGCACGCAGGCGGUUUGUUAAGUCAGAUGUGAAAUCCCCGGGCUCAACCUGGGAACUGCAGCUGAGACUGGCAAGCUUGAGUCUGGGAGAGGGGGGUGGAAUUCCAGGUGUAGGGGUGAAAUGCGUAGAGAUCUGGAGGAACAUCAGUGGCGAAGGCGGCUCCCUGGACGAAAACUGACGCUGAGGAGCGAAAGCGUGGGGAGCAAACAGGAUUAGAUACCCUAGUAGUC